GCUCAGUAACACGUGGACAACCUACCCUAAGGAGGGGCAUAACCCCGGGAAACUGGGGAUAAUUCCGGAUAACGCAUAUUUGCUGGAAUGCUUUAUGCGUCAAAAGGAUUCGUCUGCCCAAGGAUGGGUCUGCGGCCUAUCAGGUAGUAGUGGGUGUAAUGUACCUACUAGCCAGCGACGGGUACGGGUUGUGAGAGCAAGAGCCCGGAGAUGGAUUCUGAGACAUGAAUCCAGGCCCUACGGGGCGCAGCAGGCGCGAAAACUUUACAAUGCGGGAAACCGUGAUAAGGGGACACCGAGUGCCAGCAUCAUAUGCUGGCUGUCCGGAUGUGUAAAAUACAUCCGUUAGCAAGGGCCGGGCAAGACCGGUGCCAGCAGCCGCGGUAAUAC
rnacentral:rRNA from 1 species